rnacentral:rRNA from 1 species
GUAACACGUGGAUCAUCUACCUCUUGAUGGGGAAUAACCCUGGGAAACCGGGGCUAAUACCGCAUAAGCCUGGAAAGGGGAAAGCAGCAAUGCGUCGAGAGAGGAGUCCGCGGCCGAUUAGCUAGUUGGUAGGGUAAAAGCCUACCAAGGCAAUGAUCGGUAGCCGGCCUGAGAGGGCACACGGCCACACUGGCACUGAAACACGGGCCAGACUCCUACGGGAGGCAGCAGUGGGGAAUCUUGCACAAUGGAGGAAACUCUGAUGCAGCGACGCCGCGUGAGUGAUGAAGCCCUUCGGGGUGUAAAGCUCUUUCGGCAGGAACGAUAAUGACGGUACCUGCAGAAGAAGCUGCGGCUAACUACGUGCCAGCAGCCGCGGUAAUACGUAGGCAGCAAGCGUUGUUCGGAAUUACUGGGCGUAAAGGGUGCGUAGGCGGUUUGGUAAGUCUUGUGUGAAAUCUUCGGGCUCAACUCGAAGUCUGCACGAGAAACUGCCGGGCUUGAGUGUGGGAGAGGUGAGUGG